GACGAACGCUGGCGGCGUGCUUAACACAUGCAAGUCGAACGGAAAGGCCCUGCUUGCAGGGUACUCGAGUGGCGAACGGGUGAGUAACACGUGGGUGAUCUGCCCUGCACUUCGGGAUAAGCCUGGGAAACUGGGUCUAAUACCGGAUAGGAGCCAUUUUUAGUGUGAUGGUUGGAAAGUUUUUUCGGCGUAGGAUGAGCUCGCGGCCUAUCAGCUUGUUGGUGGGGUAAUGGCCUACCAAGGCGGCGACGGGUAGCCGGCCUGAGAGGGUGGACGGCCACAUUGGGACUGAGAUACGGCCCAGACUCCUACGGGAGGCAGCAGUGGGGAAUAUUGCACAAUGGGCGCAAGCCUGAUGCAGCGACGCCGCGUGGGGGAUGACGGCCUUCGGGUUGUAAACUCCUUUCGCUAGGGACGAAGCUUUUUGUGACGGUACCUAGAUAAGAAGCACCGGCUAACUACGUG
rnacentral:rRNA from 1 species